ACGCUCGACACCUACGGGGGCAGCAGUGAGGAAUAUUGGUCAAUGGGCGCUAGCCUGAACCAGCCAAGUAGCGUGAAGGAUGAAGGCUCUAUGGGUCGUAAACUUCUUUUAUAUAAGAAUAAAGUGCAGUAUGUAUACUGUUUUGUACGUAUUAUAUGAAUAAGGAUCGGCUAACUCCGUGCCCGCAGCCGCGGUAAUCUGAGCGGGCUGGCAAGGC
rnacentral:rRNA from 1 species